UACGUAGGGUGCAAGCGUUAAUCGGAAUUACUGGGCGUAAAGCGUGCGCAGGCGGUCGUGCAAGACAGAUGUGAAAGCCCCGGGCUCAACCUGGGAAUGGCAAUGGAAACUGGCGGGCUAGAGUGUGGCAGAGGGGGGUGGAAUUCCGCGUGUAGCAGUGAAAUGCGUAGAGAUGCGGAGGAACACCGAUGGCGAAGGCAGCCCCCUGGGCUAGCACUGACGCUCAGGCACGAAAGCGUGGGGAGCAAACAGG
rnacentral:rRNA from 1 species